rfam:Candidatus Marispirochaeta sp. JC444 Contig3, whole genome shotgun sequence.
CGGAUAUUUCGUGAAGGCGGAGCUCGACCGCCCACAAAAGAGAUAGUUGGAUUUAUCGACAGAUACCGGAACAAGUAUGGAGUCGAGUCAAUCUGCAAAACGCUGCCGAUUGCUCCA